GACGAACCGUGCGAACGUUGUUCGGAAUCACUGGGCUUAAAGGGCGCGUAGGCGGGCUGUCCAGUCUGGGGUGAAAUCCCGCGGCUCAACCGUGGAACUGCCUCAGAUACUGACGGCCUCGAGGGAGAUAGGGGCAUGCGGAACUGUAGGUGGAGCGGUGAAAUGCGUUGAUAUCUACAGGAACUCCGGUGGCGAAGGCGGCGUGCUGGAUCUCUUCUGACGCUGAGGCGCGAAAGCUGGGGGAGCGAACGGG
rnacentral:rRNA from 1 species